rnacentral:lncRNA from 10 species
GUGGCAUCUGUGCUGUGCCUGUCAUUCAUUGAGAACAGUUUGUUUUCUGCUUAUGGAAUCACAAAAAUAUUUAAUCUGAAGCUUCAGUGGUGCAGCCGUCCUUGAGGCUGCAGACCAUAGGAUCCUUCCUUCUCUGUCUGGAUGCACUGGAGGGCCAGCAUUCUCGGAGGUGGCCAGGGUCCUCUGAGAAGCCAGCGCCCAAGUGGUACCUGAGUCCAGUGAACGGCAAGUUUCUUUUCUGGGAGCUGCUAUCACUGAAUACAUAAAGAAAUUGAGCCUAUAUGAUUUCAAUCUUCACCUUCUGAUGCUGAUGAAACAGGAUUCUAUGCAGAGAAAAUCCUCUCCAGUCAAGUAAUUGCAUCCAUUUCAUCUUCCCAGCCCUCCUCUAGAUGGGAGGUGGAGGUGUGUGUACCAAUCUCUUAAUUCAGAAAUGAGACAAGAGGAGGAAAAAGGAGUUCCGGAGGACAGUGGGGACCCCAGCCAGAGCCUGGGGACUUGGCUGCCUUGGAACCAGAACCUGGCCCCUCAGAGGAGUUGCAGAAUUUCGAUAGAGGAGUGGCAGGAGGUGUACUGGCUGAAGAGGAGGCCCAAGGAACUCCUUUUCAUACAUCAAAACUGAGCUUAUCACCUCUACCCUGAAGUCAUCCUGGACAUCACUGGUCCCAGUUAAUCACUCACUUAUCUUUGCCAUCCUUGACCUGGGAAGAGAACGUUGCCCUCAUUGGUCUGGAAUCAGCAGGUACCUCAUGGCUGGAGGUGUAUUUUCAGAUGGAGUCUCACUCUGUCACUCAGGCUGGAGUGCAGUGGUGCGAUCUCAGCUUACUGCAACCUCCGCCUCCCGGGUUCAAGUGAUUCUCCUGCCUCAGCUUCCCCAGUAGCAGGGACUACAGGACCACAGGUACUCCUUUGGCAUCUGGUGAGGCCUGUGGAUUCAUUCUCAGAAUCACAUUUUUAAAUGCACAUAAUAAAAUACAUAGAAUUGCAAAGGAAGUUAAUUAUAUUGAAAUACAGUUAUCAAAAAUAUAAAUAAAACAAGUAUGUGGUACAGUCAUAUGUGUGCUUCUUUAUUAAGUCAUUACAAAGCAAGAUCUAUUUGGAGGUCUAAUAACUGUCAUAUGCUUGAAAAAAUCCUUAACAAUCAUAAUAUAUUAAAAAAUCUGAUUUCUACUUUGGCAAAUCAUAGAUAUUGCUGAAACUGUGGUUUAUUGCCUGCAUUCAUAAUUGAAGGAAAUGCUAGAGUUCAGUGAGAAGGUUGUGAAAAUAAAGAGAGCCUUUUUUUCUCAUCAAG